rnacentral:rRNA from 1 species
UGCGUAGGCGGUUUUAUUAAGUCAGAUGUGAAAGCCCCGGGCUUAGCCUGGGAACUGCAUUUGAUACUGGUAGACUAGAGUAUGGUAGAGGGGGUAGAAUUCCUAGUGUAGCGGUGAAAUGCGUAGAUAUUAGGAGGAAUACCAGUGGCGAAGGCGGCCCCCUGGACCAAUACUGACGCUGAGGUACGAAAGCGUGGGUAGCGAACA